UUUAUGUUUGGUGUUCGACUGGAAACGUGGUGCGGAUUCCUUACCUCUUCUAAUUUGUUCAAAUUCACUUGAAAACAAAGACGAAUUGCUUGUGGAUUUUUUAAAUGAACAGUCCGAUAAGUGAGGUGCUUUAACAUGAUAACUAUGAGUUUCAACUUAUGAGGAGAGUGAAAUAAUAUGAUAGGCAAAUAUGUAAGCUCGACCAGUUCUGAUUGCGAUGAUUCCGAAAGUGGUUUUUUCUCUUAGAAUGUAAGGGCUCGUGCACAUAUCACGUGGAACACAUAAAAGGAGAUUGAGAAGUCCAGCAUAGGUUAACAGCGAUCAUUUUCAUGUAGGUAAAAUUUACAAAACACAAAUUGAAGGGAAUCAACCAUUGAAUGCUGUAAUCCAGAGAAUAAACAUAAUUCUAUGAAAUUAAAAAUAAAAGAACAUUGCAAAUAUGAA